GAUGAACGCUGGCGGCGUGCCUAAUACAUGCAAGUCGAGCGGACGAACGAGAAGUUUGCUUGUCUGAAGUUAGCGACGGACGGGUGAGUCACACGUAGAUAACCUACCUAUAAGAAUGGGAUAACUUAGGGAGACCGGAGCUAAUAUCGGAUAAUAUUUAGAACCGCAUGGAUCAUCAGAGCAAGACCUUCUUGCUGUCACUAAUACAUGUAUCCGCGCUGCAUUAGCUAGUUGGUACGGUAACGGCUUACCAAGGCAACGAUGCAUAGCCGACCUGAGAGGGUGAUCGGCCACACUGGAACUGAGACACGGUCCAGACUCCUACGGGAGGCAGCAGUAGGGAAUCUUGCGCAAUGGGCGAAAGCCUGACGGAGCAACGCCGCGUGAGUGAUGAAGGUCUUCGGAUCGUAAAACUCUGUUAUUAGGGAAGAACAGAUGUGUAAGUAACUGUGCAUAUCUUGACGGUACCUAAACAGAAAGCCACGGCUAACUACGUG
rnacentral:rRNA from 1 species